AUUGAACGCUGGCGGCGUGCCUAAUACAUGCAAGUCGAGCGGAUGAAGGGAGCUUUUUCCUGUCUUACGUUGCCGGCGGGUGGGUGAUGAAUAGGAGUCUGCCUGGUCUUGGGGGAUAACGUCCCGUAACGGGACCUAAUAUCGCACCCGUUAAGAUGUUGAACGUGGGGGUUCUUCGGACCAAACGCUAUUUGCUGACCCUUAGCCGGAUUAGCUAGUUGGUGGGGUAAAGGCGUACCAAGGCGACGAUCCGUAACUGAUCUGAGAGGAUGAUCAGUCACACUGGAACUGAGACACGGUCCAGACUCCUACGGGAGGCAGCAGUGGGGAAUAUUGGACAAUGGGCGAAAGCUUGACCGAGCCAUGCCGCGUGUGUGAUGAAGGUCUUCGGAUUGUAAAACACUUUAAGUAGGGAGGAAGGACAGUGAGUGUAUACCUGGAUGUUUUGACGGUACCAACACAAAAAGCAACGGCUAACUACGUG
rnacentral:rRNA from 1 species